rnacentral:lncRNA from 1 species
GACUGAAAUUCAUAGAAUCAUUUAAAGUUACAUGAACAAAUAAUUAUUGAAAAGUUCAACUUUCAAGACCUAACAAAUAGAGGAUUUAGCUACUCAUAAUUUCUAAACACAUAAUUAUAUUUGAAUAAGAAAACAAGAGAAAAGGGUCAUUGAUAGAUGAUUCUUUGGCACUUGAUUAGUUCCCGCAGCUCCAAUCCUUCUGAAAUCGCAUUUCUAACUUUGUAUACUCGUCAAAAAGCGUUGCAAUACUAACCUAUGGUUCGCGAUGCGUGCUUAUUCCUCACGACGCGAGGUAGGUCAUGAGUAUCUGUGUUGGCCUUAUCGCUCUAUAUCACGAUGCGGGUCUCAUAGCCCACGAUGCGAGAUAUACAAUGGCGAUCUCCUUGAUUUCAAUCGUUUUCUUACAAUACACGACUCAUAGCCCGCGAUGCGAGUUAGGCAAAAGCUGACUCCUUGGUUUCUUCAUUCCUUGAUUCAUUUCUUCUAACCAGAACGUUUGUAACAACUAUACCCCAAACUUAAUCAAUGAUAUACUUGUAAAAAGCAUAACACAAUAGAGAGUUGUCUGAUUCUGGUGGAUUUCGAUAACUUUAAAGCAUUUUCCCGUCUUUAGGUAUUUCAUGACUUUCUAAAUGAUUUAUUUACAAAACUUGACUAAAGCAAUCAUAAACUUCCUACUUUAUUGCUAAAAUGGCACUAAUUGAUGACUCAACCCUAUAUAAUUUUUUUGUCAUCAAUUACACAAUGCGUUUUGGAUAGUUACUUUAUAGACCAAUUUUUCCGUCAGAAGUUUACCUAUGAAGCAUUUCUUGCAUGCCUCAACACCUUAUUACCCGUCUCCAUCUCAAUAGACGACGAAUGUUUGCUUGUCAAAUUCAGUGUGGUCCUAAUUUUGGACACACUAAGAUUCCCCAUGAUGAAAGCUAAGAACUUUCAAAUUUUGUAUAUGGAAAGGGAUGUUGAACACUUGGAUGAUUUACACAAUGCUUGUAGGGUGAGACCCUAUUCAUGAUGGUGAAAGAUUGAUUUUUCUCACGAUUCAUUAGGGUUCAGAGACAUAAAACCCAGAACAAGAGAAGGGGAAAGCAAUGUAGAGAACAUAAAAAUGAAAGAAAAUGGAGCAUGAAGUAGAAAAUCUCAAAGCAAGAGAGAAAAGGGAAGCACACAAGUGCUACGCACAAAGGAAGCCACGAGAGUUAUAUCUUAGGUUGUUGGUUUUCAUCAACCUACUUAUUUUUUAUAUUGUCU